ACGCUCGACACCUACGGGGGCAGCAGUGGGGAAUAUUGCACAAUGGGGGAAACCCGUGAUGCAGCGACGCCGCGUGAGUGAAGAAGUAUUUCGGUAUGUAAAGCUCUAUCAGCAGGGAAGAAGAUGACGGUACCUGAGUAAGAAGCCCCGGCUAACUACGUGCCGGCAGCCGCGGUAAUCUGAGCGGGCUGGCAAGGC
rnacentral:rRNA from 1 species